rnacentral:misc_RNA from 1 species
CUCUAGGGCACCCUGUAUUGACACAUAUGGCGCCCGGUUACAAAGGUGAAUACUUGUAAAGGCAGAAUCAAUCUUUUCAUGGUAUAUAGAAACAUAAUCGCAAGGUUUUCCAGUUUUAGGUGCUAAGUGAUGAACUGUCAUUUGCCUUCAAAAAGAUGCAUGGAUUCUCCACUGCUGAUGGCUUUGUGGAGAUAACUGAGUGCUUGGCGGAGAUGAUUAAGUACGUGGCAAAUGAACCCUCAGCAGGGCUUUUCUAUGUUCAGCAGCAC